GACGAACGCUGGCGGCGUGCUUAACACAUGCAAGUCGAACGGAAAGGCCCUGCUUUUGUGGGGUGCUCGAGUGGCGAACGGGUGAGUAACACGUGAGUAACCUGCCCUUGACUUUGGGAUAACUUCAGGAAACUGGGGCUAAUACCGGAUAGGAGCUCCUGCUGCAGGGUGGGGGUUGGAAAGUUUCGGCGGUUGGGGAUGGACUAGCGGCUUAUCAGCUUGUUGGAUGGGUAGUGGCUUACGAAGGCCUUGACGGGUAGCCGGCCUGCGAGGGUCACCGGCCACAUUGGGCCUGAGCUACGGCCCAGACUCCUACGGGAGGCAGCAGUGGGGAAUAUUGCACAAUGGGCGGAAGCCUGAUGCAGCAACGCCGCGUGCGGGAUGACGGCCUUCGGGUUGUAAACCGCUUUCGCCUGUGACGAAGCGUGAGUGACGGUAAUGGGUAAAGAAGCACCGGCUAACUACGUG
rnacentral:rRNA from 1 species